AUUGAACGCUGGCGGCAGGCCUAACACAUGCAAGUCGAGCGAGCGGCGGACGGGUGAGUAAUGUCUGGGAAACUGCCUGAUGGAGGGGGAUAACUACUGGAAACGGUAGCUAAUACCGCAUACCAUCAGAUGUGCCCAGAUGGGAUUAGCUAGUAGGUGCGGUAACAGCUCACCUAGGCGACGAUGCCUAGCUGGUCUGAGAGGAUGACCAGCCAGACUGGAACUGAGACACGGUCCAGACUCCGACGGGAGUCAGAAGGGGGGAAUAUUGCACAAUGGGCGCAAGCCUGAAGCAGCCAUGCCGAGUGUAUGAAGAAGGCCUUCGGGUUUGAAAGUACUUUCAGCGGGGAGGCGUUACCCGCAGAAGAAGCACCGGCUAACUCCGUGCCAGCAGCCGCGGUAAUAC
rnacentral:rRNA from 1 species